ACAGCCUACUGCAGGCACGGCCCAGGGGGCAGCCUGGGACAGCCCCAGAGGACGGGAAACACUGCCCUUGUGGGGGCGGGGAGGGCACACGCGGCUGUUCAAGAUUUAGAAGAUUGGUGAUCAAGUCUGGAGGCUUUGCUAUCAAUGGCGUAUAAACAGAAAAACCACAAAUUAUAUAGAGGUAAUAAAGAUUUUUACAAAAUUUGUGUUCAAACAGUAAUGCUUUAGGGACUUCCCAGGUGGUGCAGUGGUUAAGAAUCUGCCUGCCAAUGCAGGGGACACGGGUUUGCGCCCUGAUCCAGGAAGAUCCCACAUGCCACGGAGCAACUAAGCCCAUGUGCCACAACUAUUGAGCCCAUGUGCUGUAACUACUGAAGCCUAUGCACCUAGAGCCUGUGCUCCACAGCAAAAGAAGCCAUCACAAUGAGGAGCCCACACACCACAAUGAAGAGUAGCCCCCGCUCACUGCAACUAGAAAACGCCCAUGUGCAGCAACAAAGACCCAGUGCAGCCAACGAAUAAAUAAAUUUAUUCAAAAAACCCACAAUUAACAUGAUAUUUAAAAAAAAGUAAUGCUUUAAGUGAUUAAAGUGGAAAUAUUUUAUGAAAAUAUAAAUUAAAACAAGUGUAAAAUUAUUAAAAAUUAAUAUUUUCAUGUUUUUGAAAAUUAUUUUUCUUUUAAAAUAUUAAAACUUAAAUGCAAAUUUUAAAAAUACAUAUUCAUCUUAAAUAAA